AGUAAGGUGGCUCAGUGGUAGAGUGCUUGCCUUGCAUACAUGAGGCCCUGGGUUCGAUUCCUCAGUCCCACAA
rfam:Dipodomys ordii contig_9050, whole genome shotgun sequence.